AUCGCUAAGCGUUUGGAACGAAAUCCCGAUCCCACCUCCGGGAGCCUUAGUCCGAGCCCAAAUCGGAGCCCGGGGGCGGGACCUGGUAGUCAGUCCUCUGGACCGCUCGUGUUUGGGCUUUUCGCUGGGUUGGACCUGGCAGUUAGAAGAUCUUGGAGUCUGUGAAGGUCGCAUCAAAACCUGAGUGGGGGUGGUCCUUAGGUUAUAUACACACACGUAAACUCGACCCGAGCACCCAAUUGGUUAGAGACGGUGGGCAGGUAGCGGUCUGAAUGGGGAGGGCGCCUGCUGGGAAGGAAUUACGUGGGCCUGUGUGGAGUUCAACAAACACAAAGUGAGAGGAAUGGGGUGGGGGUCAAAACAAUGAUCAGAAUUCCAGCCUUUCGUUGUGAAGGUUAGGUUAGGCUGUUCUUGGGGACAUCCUGUGGCGGACUCUUGUGGGUCUUUGGAUCCUUAAGAGUCCUAGAGAUUGUCCUUACCUAGGUUGCGCAUCACCUGCCAGAGCAACGCCCAUUUGGUUUGUUUCAGACAAGGGUCUCAAUAUGCAGUCCGGGCUGACCUGGAACUGACCUUCUAGAAAAGACUGGAUCUCAGAGAUGCGGUGGAAUUUAAGGCGUGCCACUACACCGGGCCAAGAACCAGGCUAUACUGAUAGAGACACUAAGGCCCAAUGCAAGGAAUUUACCCAAGGACCAGAAUUUGGUAGCACACAACUACCUGCAGCUCCCGGCCCAGGACAUCGAUGCCCUCUGAUGGGCUCCACGGGAACCAGCAUACACCUCCUCCCCUAUAAAAGUAAAAAAAUUUAAAGAAGAAGGGAAGCAAGAGAGAUGGCCUAGCUGAUACCACUGGAUGUUCUUCAGAUUAUUCAAGGUUCAGUUCCCACCAGCCAAUAUAGUUCCCAACCAUCUAUUACUCCAGUCCCAGGGGAUCCAGUGACCCCUCUGGCCUCCACCAGCAUCAGGUGUGCAUGAGGUACACAGACAUAGAUGUAGGCAGAACACAUUUUAAAAAGUUGCCCUUUGAUCUCCCCACCCAUAGUGUACCUCCGCCUCCAGCAACAAUAAAAAACAUACAAACAAACAAAAAAAGAA
rnacentral:sRNA from 1 species